GUAAAUCUGACCUGGUUUAGUAAUUAAUGCAACGAAUUGAAAAACCAUCUUCAGCUUCAGUAGGAUGGGCCAUUAUUGAGCCAGGAGGCCCGUGCUAACUUUACACCAAAGUUGCUGUGGACUCAGGAAGUCCUCCAUGCUAUCUGCCCUCAAGACUUCCUGCUGUUCUGCUACUACAGGCCCUGGAUGGCUCACCUGGGAUUGCUGGGGGAAGACCUGAAAGCGAGGAUCUUACCUAUUUUCUGUAUCCUGGCACCGAAGAGGAAACCCUGGUGGUGUAAUGGUUAGGAGCUACAGCUGCUAACCAAAAGGUGGGUAGUUCAAAUCCACCAGGUGCUCCUUGGAAACCCUAUGGGGCAGUCCUACUCUGUCCUGUAGGGUCACUAUAAGUCAGAACCGACUGGAUGGCAACAGGUUUUGGUUUAUUUUUGGUACCUAAGAAUUGUUGUCGUCACCCCCCUCCCGCCACCGCCGCCGUUCAAGCUCCAUGAUAAACAAGGGGUAGAGAUUAGGUAACAGGGUGAAGUCUAAGACUUGAAGGAUUAGUAUAGCAAGCGAGGGUGGGGUGGUCUUCCUCCUUGUCAGCAAGGCUCGGUUCAAGGGCAGUCUGGACUGAGACGGGGGCUGGCUGAGAACACCUUCUGGAAGGCCCUGCCAGCCCUGUGAUUCCCCCUCCAGGAAAUGGGGCCAGCUCUAUGCAAAUACGUUCUUGCCGGGGGAAUUUGGUUUCUCUUCUCUGACCUCCUGGCACAGUGGAACCAACAUGAGCGGUUGCUUGGCAGGACAGAGAAGGGCAGGCUAGCAGUCCCCAGGCUCGGGUGACAGGGCCAGGCCCAGGAGACGGGGAUGUUGACUGGGGCUUUAACAGCCCUCCUGAUGCCAAUCUCGGGCUGAAAACUCGAUAUUUCCACUUGGAACAAGAAGGCUGGAGAGAGGAGGGCAGUGUACCAGGAGCGCCCCCUGCAGGUCUUACUGGGUGGUGCUAGAACAAAGAAAGCGCACUCGGGGUGGGACUUUCAGGAGAUUCCUGGCAAGACCAUGGUGAGGAGGAGGAGGGAGAGGAAGAUGACAGCUUGCAUUUACUGAGUACAGGUAGUCCCCAAUUUACAGCUGGUUCCGUUCCGAUGACUCUGUGGUUAAGUCGGUUCUGAUGUAAGUCGAACGCUUUUUUUUUUUUUUAGCUUUCAUUAUUAUUGCCUUUUAUAUUCAGUGUCUUUACUAACCCGAUCUUUAUUUAUCUUUGUGGGUUGACAUGAGAACGACUACAUCAGCAAACUGCGCACUGCGACACUGUAUGUAGUACCAUAUGAUUAACCAUAAGAGGAACAACCAAAAAAAAGCCUGUUGUAAGUGUUCUUUGUUCUAACUCCCGUAUGAUAUAAACAGGAAACUACUCGUACUUACCAUGUGCCAGACAUAUUAUCCAACAAAUGGAUAAUAUGCUUAUUCUCAUUUUUUAGAUGAAGAAACUAAGAUUGAGAGAGGUCGAGUCACUUGCUCAAAAUCAAACAGAGUUGGAAUUUGAACCCAGGUCAUCACUUCCCGAGAUUAUACUCUCAGCACUGCCUUUCCCACCUCACCAGUUCGUCCCAGGACC